rnacentral:rRNA from 1 species
CUCGCUGUGAAGAUGCAGUGUACCCGCGGCAAGACGGAAAGACCCCGUGAACCUUUACUAUAGCUUGACACUGAACAUUGAGCCUUGAUGUGUAGGAUAGGUGGGAGGCUUUGAAGCGUGGACGCCAGUCUGCGUGGAGCCGACCUUGAAAUACCACCCUUUAAUGUUUGAUGUUCUAACGUGGACCCGUUACCCGGGUUGCGGACAGUGUCUGGUGGGUAGUUUGACUGGGGCGGUCUCCUCCUAAAGAGUAACGGAGGAGCACGAAGGUUGGCUAAUCCUGGUCGGACAUCAGGAGGUUAGUGCAAUGGCAUAAGCCAGCUUGACUGCGAGCGUGACGGCGCGAGCAGGUGCGAAAGCAGGUCAUAGUGAUCCGGUGGUUCUGAAUGGAAGGGCCAUCGCUCAACGGAUAAAAGGUACUCCGGGGAUAACAGGCUGAUACCGCCCAAGAGUUCAUAUCGACGGCGGUGUUUGGCACCUCGAUGUCGGCUCAUCACAUCCUGGGGCUGAAGUAGGUCCCAAGGGUAUGGCUGUUCGCCAUUUAAAGUGGUACGCGAGCUGGGUUUAGAACGUCGUGAGACAGUUCGGUCCCUAUCUGCCGUGGGCGCUGGAGAACUGAGGGGGGCUGCUCCUAGUACGAGAGGACCGGAGUGGACGCAUCACUGGUGUUCGGGUUGUCAUGCCAAUGGCACUGCCCGGUAGCUAAAUGCGGAAGAGAUAAGUGCUGAAAGCAUCUAAGCACGAAACUUGCCCCGA